rnacentral:rRNA from 1 species
AUUGAACGCUGGCGGCAUGCCUAACACAUGCAAGUCGAACGAGUGGCGGACGGGUGAUUAAUGUCUGGGAAACUGCCUGAUGGAGGGGGCUAACUACUGGAAACGGUAGCUAAUACCGCAUACCAUCAGAUGUGCCCAGAUGGGAGUAGCUAGUGGGUGGGGUAACGGCUCACCUAGGCGACGAUCCCUAGCUGGUCUGAGAGGAUGACCAGCCACACUGGAACGGAGACACGGUCCAGACUCCUACGGGAGGCAGCAGUGGGGAAUAUUGCACAAUGGGGGCAAGCCUGAUGCAGCCAUGCCGCGUGUAUGAUGAAGGCCUUCGGGUUGUAAAGUACUUUCAGCGGGAAGGCGUUACCCGCAGAAGAAGCACCGGCUAACUACGUGCCAGCAGCCGCGGUAAUAC